rnacentral:rRNA from 1 species
GUGCCUAUACAUGCAAGUCGAGCGGACAGAUGGGAGCUUGCUCCCUGAUGUUAGCGGCGGACGGGUGAGUAACACGUGGGUAACCUGCCUGUAAGACUGGGAUAACUCCGGGAAACCGGGGCUAAUACCGGAUGGUUGUCUGAACCGCAUGGUUCAGACAUAAAAGGUGGCUUCGGCUACCACUUACAGAUGGACCCGCGGCGCAUUAGCUAGUUGGUGAGGUAACGGCUCACCAAGGCGACGAUGCGUAGCCGACCUGAGAGGGUGAUCGGCCACACUGGGACUGAGACACGGCCCAGACUCCUACGGGAGGCAGCAGUAGGGAAUCUUCCGCAAUGGACGAAAGUCUGACGGAGCAACGCCGCGUGAGUGAUGAAGGUUUUCGGAUCGUAAAGCUCUGUUGUUAGGGAAGAACAAGUGCCGUUCAAAUAGGGCGGCACCUUGACGGUACCUAACCAGAAAGCCACGGCUAACUACGUGCCAGCAGCCGCGGUAAUACGUAGGUGGCAAGCGUUGUCCGGAAUUAUUGGGCGUAAAGGG